rnacentral:rRNA from 1 species
CCUACGGGAGGCUGCAGUCGAGAAUAUUCCCCAAUGGACGAAAGUCUGAGGGAGCGACGCCGCGUGUAGGAAGAAGCCCUUCGGGGUGUAAACUACUUUUCUGUGGGAAGAACAAUGACGGUACCAUAGGAAUAAGGGGCUGCUAACUCUGUGCCAGCAGCAGCGGUAAUACAGAGACCCCGAGCGUUAUCCGGAUUUAUUGGGCGUANAGCGUCUGUAGGCGUCCUGCACAAGUCUUCGGUUAAAGCCCACCGCUCAACGGUGGAACAGCCGGAGAAACUAGCAGGAUUGAGGUUGGGAGAGGUAAGCGGAAUUGCCGGUGUAGUAGUAAAAUGCGUUAAUAUCGGCAAGAACACCAAAGGCGAAGGCAGCUUACUGGAACACACCUGACGCUGAGAGACGAAAGCGUGGGGAGCGAAUGGGAUUAGAUACCCGAGUANUC